rnacentral:pre_miRNA from 1 species
UUUUUAGUAUAAGUAUGUCCCAUGCAAUAUUUAGGGCAUACUUACAUUAAAA